rnacentral:rRNA from 2 species
GAAGUCACGAAUAACCGGCCGAAAGGUCGGAUAAUACGUGAUGGUCUCGCGAGAGUAAAGAUUUAUCGCUUCGGGAAUGGCCUGCGGGCUAUCAGCUAGUUGGUAAGGUAACGGCUUACCAAGGCUACGACGGCUAGGAGAGCUGAGAGGCUGACCUCCACCGAUGGAACUGCGACACGGUCCAUACUCCUACGGGAGGCUGCAGUCGAGAAUCUUCCGCAAUGGGCGAAAGCCUGACGGAGCGACGCCGCGUGAAGGAUGAAGUCCCUCGGGACGUAAACUUCUUUUAUGAGGGAGGAAAUUUUGACGUUACCUCAUGAAUAAGGGGCUCCUAACUCUGUGCCAGCAGGAGCGGUAAUACAGAGGCCCCAAGCGUUUCCGGGAAUUUUUUGGGCGUAAAGGGUGCGUAGGCGGUCGUAUUAGUCACUUGUUAAAUCUCCCGGCUUAACCGGGAACCUGCAAGUGAAACGGUACGACUCGAGGAUGUGAGAGGUGAUCGGAACUCAAGGUGUAGGGGUGAAAUCCGUUGAUAUCUUGGGGAACACCAAAAGCGAAGGCAGAUCACUGGCACAUUCCUGACGCUGAAGCACGAAAGCGUGGGUAGCGAACGGGAUUAGAUACCCCGGUAGUCCACGCCCUAAACGAUGAUAACUGGCUAUAGGGAGUAUCGACCCUCUCUGUGGCGAAGCUAACGCGUUAAGUUAUCCGCCUGGGUAGUACGGCCGCAAGGCUAAAACUCAAAGGAAUAGACGGGGGCUCGCACAAGCGGUGGAUCAUGAGGCUUAAUUCGUCGCUAAGCGAAGAACCUCACCAGGGUUAGAAAUCCUACUGCACGCUCCGGGAAACCGGAGAAGCCUUCGAGGGUGUAGGACAGGUGAUGCAUGGUCGUCGUCAGUUCGUGGCUUGAGUUGUUCCCUUAAGUGGGGAAACGAACGCAACCCCCGUUGCCUGUUACAAGUGUCAGGCGAGACAGCUCCCUCACGGGAGAGG